AGAAGAUUUGCCUUUUGAAAGUGCUGGACCAGUGCUCCUGGAACCAUUAGUGGAUCAAGCCCUGUAAAGGGCAGUGAGUACUGUUGCUCAUAUACAAUGAUCCUAUGACUGACCAUGGCUUGGAUUUGAGAACAGGAACACUUCCUCUGCUUCCAAAUUCAUAUGAAAGAAAUUUGGUUAAGGUUUUUGAGAAAUGUUUUUCCUGGCCAAAAUGCAAGGUGAAGAUUACUUUUACCCGUUGCUUACUCACAAACCUAAUUCCAAAUUUUUGGAAACUAGCAUUUGAAUAUCAGAAAUGCUACCAUCAUUUCAACCACUUCUAAAAUAGCUCUCUGUUAGCUAUGUUAUUUAUUUUUAUGCAGAUCAGACUCCAGCAGAGCUUAGUUGACAGAGAAGUGAACACAUGGCAGAACUAUGUAGGAAAAGAGUUGAAAGUAUAUUUUAAUAAAUGGGGCUUACUCUCAUUUAAACUUUUACAUGGAAUCUGUUGUUCUUCAGUAGUUUCUCUUAUCUUACUACCUCUCUACUUUCUGUUGAGAAUGUGAACACAAGAAUGGAAUAUAGCUACAGGAAAUACCUUUGACAGUCAGCUUAGAACAAAUGGUUGUUUCUUCUUCAGUGUCUCACAAAUGUGUAGAGUAAAGCAAGAUAAAGUAAAGUAAAGCAAGACCUGGUGAGAAAGGCUUCAGGAAACUAACUCUUUGGUCUAAAUUUCUCUGACCUUUUCAAAGAAUGAGAUUGAGAGUUUUCUCCACAUCCUGCCUUUUAUGCAUAAAGGAAGACUCAUUCUUCUAGCCUUAUCAGAAUUACUAUGAAUGCUAACAGUGAUGGCAUUAAUAAGUUCAGCAGCAGCCUGAUAAACAAGAAGGAUUAGAGCAGCAGUUCUGUUGUUCCAUUAAUAAUGUUACAAGAGAAGGGAAAUCCAUUACGUUUGAAAAUUUACGUGUAAAUGCAGCUUUUAAAGGAACGUGUUUCAUUUCUUGAACAUGUUCUUUGACAUGCUAUAUUCUAUUACAUAGUUUUUCAUGUGUCAAUAAUUUUUUCUUGAACUUUUUCUGUUCACCUACACUUGACUGAGCCAGUCAUAAAUUUGGAGACAGUCUUCUCAAUUAUUUUUUAAGAUAGUAUAGUAAUGUCAUUUUAUAUAGAAUGGAACACUUAUCAUUUUGAAUAAUCUGCAAUAUAUAUUUGAUAAUAAAGUAGAUAAACUGGAAAUUAUUUUUGCUUCUGAAUUACUACAUACACAUAACAGUGCUGUUAGAAAGUGUUACAAUCUUGAACUUCUAAUAAUUUAACAGAGUUCAUGCUUAGACAUUACUGUUUAAUGAAAAUUUAACCAUUGGAUAUUUUUCUGAACUGCUAAGGUUGGAUUCAGUUCAACUGGAAGCUGAUUUGCAGUUUCUAAGAUAUGACUCACAUACAGUCAUGAGCAAGAAUUGGUUGCCACUGCCUGUUGAUUCAAAGAUGCCAUCUGUAAUUGCAAACAUUAAUUUUAAAUAAACAUGAUAGGCAGUUCCUGGCAAAGAACAGUCAGGUUUUAAGAUAGGAUUAUACUGUCAAUUCUGUACACUUCUGCCAACUGGAAGGGCAAUACAGCAGUGCAGAAGCAGUCAGGAAGACAUUUGGAGUGCAUUAAAAAUGAUUUCUUAACAUAGGUGACUGAGAAAUGAUGAAGGGUAGCACUGUGGUGGACAUAACACCGAUAUUGUGGAACUGGAUUUUAAGGUUUGACUGGCCUUGGCAGCAGUGACCAUGGAAUGGUGGAGUACAAGAUCCUGAGAGAAGACUGCAGGGCAAAUAGGAUCACAGCUUUUAAUUUCAGAACAGCAGACGGGCUAGUUUAAGGUUCUGCUUGGAAGAAACCCAUGGAAUGAGGUCCUGGAGAGAAGAGGAGUCUAGGAGAGCUGGGCUACCUCCUCUAAGAUCAGGAGCAGUUCAUCAGAACGUGCAGAGAAAGUCAAGAGAAGAUGGCAGGAGAUCUGCAUUGAUCAACAAGGAGCUCCUGAUGCAACUCGAACAUACUCAUGAGUGGAAUGGAAGGAGAUCUGGGUGAUCUGGGAGCGCUAUAGAGAUACUGUCUGAGCAUAUACAGCUGGGUUAGAAAAGGCAAAGUCCAGCUGGAGUUGAAUCUGGUGCGGGGUCUAAAGGGCAAAGAUGUGUUUUAUAAAUUUAUUAGCAGCAAAAGGAAGACUUUGGAAGAAGGAAAAGUAUCUAGGGUACUAUAAGUAUUAUAGUACCCUAUGCUAUAGGGUAUUAUACAUAAUCACUCAUUGAAAACUUGUCCUGUUAACAACUGCCUCUGUACAUGAGUAGGUCCAUGAACCCUAGAUAUGAGAGUGUGACUGGAGCUCCAUAUUUGGUCUUUUAUGUAACCAAGUAUCUUUAGUGUGAAAAGAAGCUUUGUUUUCUAAAUUGUAAGGUGACGGAGCAGCUCAUUCUCCAAACCAUUUCCGAACAUACUGAGAACAAGAAAAUGGCUCACUUCUUGACCAUUAGCAAAAGCAUUUUUUUAUUUAGCAGCUUUGCAGAAAAGCCUCUGCAACCCUGGUGGGUUGACUAUAAUAAUGACUGUAAGCAGGAAUAUGCCCUUGUAAGAAAAAACAACAAUAUCCCAGGCUGCAUUAGGUAGAGCAUUGUCCACAGCUCAAGGAAGCGAUUCUUCCCUUCUCAGCAAUUAUGAGGCUACAUCUAGAGUAGCGUAUUGUAUGAAGUUCCAGACUCUCCAGUACACGAACAUACUGGAGCAAGUCCAGCAAUGGGCCACAUGUAUGCCUUAACGAUUGGAGCAUCUAACAAACAGGGAGAGGCUGAGAUUGCUUGGGCUGUUUAGCCUUGUAAAGAGAAUGUUAAAGAGGGAUCUUAUCGAUGUGUAUACAUACAAAAUAGAAGGUAGUAAGGAACACAGAGACAGACUCUUUUUAGUGGUAGCCAGCAAAAGGAAAAGAGUCAAGGGACGCAAUAUGAUACAUAAGAAAUUCCACUUAAA